rnacentral:rRNA from 1 species
CAGCCGCCGCGGGAAUACGAAGGGGGCUAGCGUUGCUCGGAAUCACUGGGCGUAAAGGGUGCGUAGGCGGGUCUUUAAGUCAGGGGUGAAAUCCUGGAGCUCAACUCCAGAACUGCCUUUGAUACUGAAGAUCUUGAGUUCGGGAGAGGUGAGUGGAACUGCGAGUGUAGAGGUGAAAUUCGUAGAUAUUCGCAAGAACACCAGUGGCGAAGGCGGCUCACUGGCCCGAUACUGACGCUGAGGCACGAAAGCGCGGGGAGCAAACAGGAUUAGAUACCCCCGUAGUCCCUGUCUCUUAUAC